rnacentral:rRNA from 1 species
AGCGUACACAGGUGCUGCAUGGCUGUCGUCAGCUCGUGUCGUGAGGAUGUGGUUAAGUCCCGCAACGAGCGCAACCCCUGCUGCCAGUUGCCAACGGGUGAAGCCGGGCACUCUGCGGGACUGCCAUCGACAAGAUGGAGGAAGUGGGGAUGACGUCAAGUCAUCAUGGCCCUUAUGUCCAGGGCGACACACGUGCUACAAUGGCCGGCACAGCGGGAAGCGAGGCAGUGAUGCCAAGCGGAUCCCUUAAAGCCGGUCUCAGUUCGGAUUGAAGUCUGCAACUCGACUUCAUGAAGCUGGAAUCGCUAGUAAUCGCAGAUCAGCCAAGCUGCGGUGAAUACGUUCCCGGGCCUU